UUCGAAAGAGGGGUGAGAAUCCCCUCCACCGAAUGCCUAAGGUUUCCUGAGGAAGGCUCGUCCGCUCAGGGUUAGUCGGGACCUAAGCCGAGGCCGAAAGGCGUAGGCGAUGGACAACAGGUUGAUAUUCCUGUACCACCUCCUCACCAUUUGAGCAAUGGGGGGACGCAGGAGGAUAGGGUAAGCGCGGUAUUGGAUAUCCGCGUCCAAGCAGUUAGGCUGGGAAAUAGGCAAAUCCGUUUCCCAUAAGGCUGAGCUGUGAUGGCGAGCGAAAUAUAGUAGCGAAGUUCCUGAUUCCACACUGCCAAGAAAAGCCUCUAGCGAGGUGAGAGGUGCCCGUACCGCAAACCGACACAGGUAGGCGAGGAGAGAAUCCUAAGGUGAUCGAGAGAACUCUCGUUAAGGAACUCGGCAAAAUGACCCCGUAACUUCGGGAGAAGGGGUGCUCUGUUAGGGUGCAAGCCCGAGAGAGCCGCAGUGAAUAGGCCCAGGCGACUGUUUAGCAAAAACACAGGUCUCUGCGAAGCCGUAAGGCGAAGUAUAGGGGCUGACGCCUGCCCGGUGCUGGAAGGUUAAGAGGAGCGCUUAGCGUAAGCGAAGGUGCGAAUUGAAGCCCCAGUAAACGGCGGCCGUAACAAUAACGGUCCUAAGGUAGCGAAAUUCCUUGUCGGGUAAGUUCCGACCCGCACGAAAGGCGCAACGAUCUGGGCACUGUCUCAACGAGAGACUCGGUGAAAUUAUAGUACCUGUGAAGAUGCAGGUUACCCGCGACAGGACGGAAAGACCCCGUGGAGCUUUACUGCAGCCUGAUAUUGAAUGUUGGUACAGCUUGUACAGGAUAGGUAGGAGCCUUGAAAACCGGAGCGCCAGCUCUGGUGGAGGCAUCGGUGGGAUACUACCCUGGCUGUAUUGACCUUCUAACCCGCCGCCCUUAUCGGGCGGGGAGACAGUGUCAGGUGGGCAGUUUGACUGGGGCGGUCGCCUCCUAAAAGGUAACGGAGGCGCCCAAAGGUUCCCUCAGAAUGGUUGGAAAUCAUUCGCAGAGUGUAAAGGCACAAGGGAGCUUGACUGCGAGACCUACAAGUCGAGCAGGGACGAAAGUCGGGCUUAGUGAUCCGGUGGUUCCGCAUGGAAGGGCCAUCGCCCAACGGAUAAAAGCUACCCCGGGGAUAACAGGCUUAUCUCCCCCAAGAGUCCACAUCGACGGGGAGGUUUGGCACCUCGAUGUCGGCUCAUCGCAUCCUGGGGCUGUAGUCGGUCCCAAGGGUUGGGCUGUUCGCCCAUUAAAGCGGUACGCGAGCUGGGUUCAGAACGUCGUGAGACAGUUCGGUCCCUAUCCGUCGCGGGCGCAGGAAAUUUGAGAGGAGCUGUCCUUAGUACGAGAGGACCGGGAUGGACGCACCGCUGGUGUACCAGUUGUUCUGCCAAGGGCAUCGCUGGGUAGCUAUGUGCGGACGGGAUAAGUGCUGAAAGCAUCUAAGCAUGAAGCCCCCCUCAAGAUGAGAUUUCCCAUUCCGCAAGGAAGUAAGAUCCCUGAAAGAUGAUCAGGUUGAUAGGUCUGAGGUGGAAGUGUGGCGACACAUGGAGCUGACAGAUACUAAUCGAUCGAGGACUUAACC
rnacentral:rRNA from 1 species